UCAGCAGCCGCGGUAAUACGUAGGGUGCGAGCGUUAAUCGGAAUUACUGGGCGUAAAGCGUGCGCAGGCGGUUAUAUAAGACAGAUGUGAAAUCCCCGGGCUCAACCUGGGAACUGCAUUUGUGACUGUAUAGCUAGAGUGCGGCAGAGGGGGAUGGAAUUCCGCGUGUAGCAGUGAAAUGCGUAGAUAUGCGGAGGAACACCGAUGGCGAAGGCAAUCCCCUGGGCCUGCACUGACGCUCAUGCACGAAAGCGUGGGGAGCAAACAGGAUUAGAUACCCUGGUAGUCCACGCCCUAAACGAUGUCAACUGGUUGUUGGGUCUUCACUGACUCAGUAACGAAGCUAACGCGUGAAGUUGACCGCCUGGGGAGUACGGCCGCAAGGUUGAAACUCAAAGGA
rnacentral:rRNA from 1 species